AUUGAACGCUGGCGGCAGGCCUAACACAUGCAAGUCGAACGAGUGGCGGACGGGUGAGUUAUGUCUGGGACACUGCCCGAUGGAGGGGGGCAACUACUGGAAACGGUCGCUAAUACCGCAUACCAUCGGAUGUGCCCAGAUGGGAUUAGCGAGUAGGUGGGGUAACGGCUCACCUAGGCGACGAUCCCUAGCUGGUCUGAGAGGAUGACCAGCCACACUGGAACUGAGACACGGUCCAGACUCCUACGGGAGGCAGCAGUGGGGAAUAUUGCACAAUGGGCGCAAGCCGGAUGCAGCCAUGCCGCGUGUAUGAAGAAGGCCUUCGGGUUGUAAAGUACUUUCAGCGGGGAGGCGUUACUCGCAGAAGAAGCACCGGCUAACUCCGUGCCAGCAGCCGCGGUAAUUC
rnacentral:rRNA from 1 species